UACGGAGGGUGCAAGCGUUAUCCGGAUUCACUGGGUUUAAAGGGUGCGUAGGUGGGAAUGUAAGUCAGUGGUGAAAUCUCCGUGCUUAACAUGGAAACUGCCAUUGAUACUAUGUUUCUUGAAUUUUCUGGAGGUAAGCGGAAUAUGUCAUGUAGCGGUGAAAAUGCUUAGAUAUGACAUAGAACACCAAUUGCGAAAGGCAGCUUGCUACAGGGGAAUAUUGACACUGAGGCACGAAAAGCGUGGGGGAUCAAAACAGG
rnacentral:rRNA from 1 species